UGAUCUCUUCUUGGCCUUUCAUUGAAAAUUGCCCUACGUCGCGAGCUCGUCGUUUUGGUAUAAUUUUCACGGUGAAUUGAGCGGUGUAGUUCCGUGGAGGUUAUGGCAGCAGGGUUUUUUUUUCCAGUGGAGUGAUUGUAUUCAAGUGUUUUGGUCAUUUAAAGAAAGGUAGGAAUCACCUUUUAUCAGUUUACGGAUACCUUAG
rnacentral:lncRNA from 1 species